AGUCACAGCAUUGGAAUCAAGCAGAAAUCAAGUAUGGCUCUCACCCUCCGGCUUCUGCCUGCUCCUGGCCCACCUCUUAGCUCACACACACUCUGGCUUUUGUCUUCUUCACUUACCAGCCAGGUGAGGGACAGGAGCCCACCCUCAGGCACAGAGCAACUUUCUUUGUUAUACCAGUGACCAUGCUUAGGUGGUAACUAACCUUGAGGCUAAUUCAACAAUAGAAUCCUCCAUUAGAUGUUAACCCUGAUGGAUCGUGUACCCUAGGAAUCAGAAGGGACAUGCAUUAUGCAGACUAACCUACUAAACUCACAACAAUAUAUUUAUAUACCUCAAGACAAUCUCUAAGCAGUUGACAAAAACAAUACAUGAUACAUACAUAUGUUUUUUCACAUGUACUGUAUAUAUUCCUGGAGACAGGUUGUAUGUCUACAGCAAUGACCAGAAGAAGAAUGGCUUCUGGGAGGAGCGCAGAAAGAAGAAGCACUGUGGUACACUUGCACUGCACAAUCAGACACCUUCAUCUCUCCUGCAUCUGUCUACAGCCACAGCAGGCACUGUAAUUCUUCAACAGUUUGACUUCACCCUCAAAGGCGUAAGACAGACGGGUGCCAGCACAAAAUAUACACAUACAAAUUACAGUAAGCCUGGUUGCCUUACUGUUCUUUCUCAUUUGCUCUCAAGCAAUCUAAAUGGCUUUUCUGCAGCAACAAAGGGAAUCCCUAAGAAAUGGAAGUGAUGGUGGAUGUCAAAAGGUGAGCAACUUGACCACAAUAUAUGGUUAGAGGCCAGCAGCUGCCUCCUCCUAUACCUGCAAACCAAAAAGGGUUAUUCACCUUUGCUCACCAAUCCUGAUGUAAGACUUUGCUUUUCAAUCCUGUCUGCUGACUCCUGGGUCUUGCCCUCAGCUCUGAUUUUCAGUUUGCCCUUUGGUUCCAAUUCCUCUUUCUUCCUCAACUCUGACACCUGAUUUUUCUCAACUCUGAAUGCCCAUGUUGUUGCUUGAAUACAGUCUCCUAGCUCCUGGAUGAUCCAGCUGCCUGUAGCUUAGCCUUAACACUAGGGGUGAGGGGCAUGAAGCGUCAUUCUAUCCCAGUGCAGUCACCCUGGAAUGGAUGCAGACUGGCAAUACUGUGAAGGAGGGAAUGCAGUAAAUCUUUAAAAUACUGGUAAUAUCCAGCUAGAAUUACACAAUUACAUUCCACUGAAAUAAUGCCUACAAAAAUAUAGUCAUUUUGAUAGGGUAUCAGAGACGAAUGCUACUGGUUUCAUGAGGCCCCUUUGGGGGCUGCUUGAAGAGCUGGAUUUUUUCAUCUAGCCUGGUGUAUGCCAGGGAAACCCUGAGAAAACAGGAAAUAAGAAAGUAUGAUGUCAUUUUGCCAUUUGCCCAAAUGGGAUACAAGAAAAAGCCAAGGGCCCUUCAAAAACAAACAAAUGGCUCUUUUGUACUGUGAAUAAGAGGUCAAAGUGGCUUGAGAACAGUUGUCUAAGUGUUUUUAUAAAAAAAACAAACCACCCCACAUUCAACAAAUAAAAACCUAUUGGGGACUCUGAGAUGCUCCUCUUCUUCAAAUUACUACUGAGUAACAUUAUUUUUUUAAAAAAGUAUUAAAAUUGAUAACUGAUAUUAAGCUAGUGAAAUAAAAAAAAAUUAAGGUCUUAUGUAUAUAAUAAAGGUUCAUAAAUGUACCAAGCAAACACGUACAGGAGCUGCACAGGAGAGCAGCCAUGAAGCCAUUUUGACUCCCAAACUGACCAGGUGUUUUCUUUGCAAAGUCAAAUGGAAAAGCCUCCCCAUUGUCUUUUCCUUCACAAAUCCUGUCUUAAGGGUAUGUCUGUGUAUGAAUAGGGUGAACCUGUGACUUGGCUCAGAAACUAAGUAUUUAUCAUUACAAAAGACUGGCCAGGCUCCCCAGGGUAUCAAUCCGGUAAACAUUAACAGGUAACUUGCCAGACAGGUGGUAAACAACCUACUCAGAUUAUGAGGUAAACAACCCACUCAGACUUCUGCUUUAGCCCGCCCUUUCUGUGAUGUAAGUAUGAUGUGUCUGGGGGGGUGGUCUUAAACUACACCCCUUCUGUGAUGUAUGUAUGAUGUUUCUGGGGGUGGGCUUGGACUCCAGGGCUGGCAAUUUAAAAUGACUAUAUAAGGGCAGACACACCUUGGUUCUGGGUCCUUCUCCUUCUCCUGUGUGUGAAGGGGGCACCCUGUUGCAACAGUUCAAUAAAGAUCAGGCUUAGUAGCUGCUUUGCUUCUCAAUAUUCUCUGGUUGGCCUCUGUUCUUUCCUCUGACCGAUGGAGAACCUACAAAGGACUCUAUAAGGGCUCUCUUAUGGGGGAAUAAGGGCAGAUUUUCGUUUAUUACACUAGUGUUGGGAAAGAUUGAGGGCGUAAGGAGAAGGGGACGACAGAGGAUGAGAUGGUUGGACAGUGUUCUUGAAGCUACCAACAUGAGUUUGACCAAAGUGCGGGAGGAGUGAAACACAGGAGUGCCUGGCGUGCUCUGGUCCAUGGGGUCACAAAGAGACGGAGACAACUAAAUGACUAAACAACUACAAAAACUUUUUUCUACAGUUGUCCCUCCCUUCCUUCCUUCCUUCCUUCCUUCCUUCCUAUAUAAGAAUUAGAGAUCCAGGGUGUAUAUUUUUUAUUUUAAAAAUAUUCCAAUAUUAAUUGUAUUGAACCUUUGGCUAGAAUGUAUUAGGCUUGCAUUUGUGUGCUUGGAUUUUACGACUCUUAUGCGGUAUUGCUUUCCUAUCUGCCCCUGAAAGUGGCAUAAAUGGUCAUUCAGGAUAGUUUGCUAUGUCUGUUUUGAGUUAGCACCAGGGUGAAAUCCGUUAUCUCCAGAGGUUCCAAGGAGCAGAUAGGGACAUCUGGAAUGUCAAUAACCCUGUCAAAGGCCUGGUUGCUAAGGAAACAGUGAUAAAAAAGACAUUUGAGACCCAAAUGGCCUGUGGCAGUUAGGGGCAUCUCACGGUAAUUGUGGGGGUGGAGUUAUCAGUAUGGAGCCAUGCAUGUUUCGCUUCUCAUGACCUGUAACCUUUAUUGAUGUAUGUAGAAGAAUGUUUGAUGUUUUAUGACUCUUUGUGUACUGUAUUUGAAAUUGAAAUCCUAUGUAAGCUUUGUUACAAAUUUGCUCUGGGCAGUCUUUUCUAACUAGGUCUGCUGAGCAAUUGGAUGCAAGACCAUCCUGUUGCAAUAGUUAAUAAAACGGGUCCCUAACUGGAUCUGCUGAUGCCUCUAGUUCUCUUGGUUCCAUAUUUUAUUGAGAAGCUGUUCCCUCACCUGGGUAACAAACAGGUGGUAUAGAAAUAAAUUAUUUCCUUCCUUCCUGUGACAAAUUUCAUAUUGCUAUAAAUUUAAGGAGGGGGCCUCUAAACUCUAGAAAUGAAUAAAUACUAGGAUUUUGAUUAAUUGAGAUAUGGAUUAAAGUACAAACUGCAUAGCUGUGCCCGACAGAAUUCCUGGGCUAUCUUAUGCAAACCAACCUGGUUGGCUUAGUAAAGAGCAAACUUGUUAACAUGACAAAAACAGUAUGUAUAUUUGUGCCAACCCCUCUUGUAUCAAAAUAAUUCAGUUCAGGCCCAGUAUUGAAGAUUGUCUUUGCUGGGGACCUGCUAAAUGCCUAUAGCUGCUGAUGUUCCAUCUCUUCUUCUCUACCACCUUGACCACCAGCUUCUUCUUUGGUUGGUUGGUUGGUUGGUUGGUUGGUUGGUUGGUUGGCUAGUUGCUUCCUCUUUAUCUGGGCCCAACAAACUGGCAAACAAGAGCAGCAGUCAUUGCUGCUGCCACUUCUGAUCUCACCAUUCACCCAGUGCACUCUCUCCCUUCACUCUGAAUUGUGCUGCAUGGUCCUUUUACGUAGCAUGUGCCUUUUAUAGUGGGUGCAACCUAAUGCUCAUUUAAGUGACACGUGGCACAAUUCUAAGCGUGUUUAACUCAGAAGGAACAUUAUACCGAGUUAGACCAUUUGUCCAUAUGGCUUAGUAUCAUUGACACGGGCAGCAUCUUUCCAGGAUUUCAGAUGGUCAUUCCUUCCCAGCCCUAUCUAGACACUCCAGGACUGAACCUGGGACCUUUUGCAUGCUAGCAUCUGCUCUACCACUGAGCUUCUCUCCUUACCCUGAAUCAAUCAUACUUCAGUGGGCUCCCAUCUUUCAUAAGAACUUCUGGAAUCAGAGGGAUCCUUUUUUAUAUAAAAAAAAUAUACUUUUCAGGUUUAUACAUUUCACUGAUUUUACAAUCCUUUUGACUUGACUUCCUCCCCCCCCCCUUUCUGUGGUUCCUUAAAUUUAUUUUUAAUAUCUUAUGCAUAUCCAAAUUAACUUAAUUUGAUCAUUUACUCAUCAAAUAUAUACUCUUAUGAAACUGCAAGUUAUUACAAUAAUCCUGCCAAUGUUCGUAUCUGUUUACAAUUUAUCUGUAAAUAUUCAAUAAACCAUUUCUAUUAUUUUAU